rnacentral:sRNA from 1 species
AAACAAAAAACAAAAAAAACGAACGGCUAGAUCUAGUGAAGCUAAAAUACCAGGACUAGGGUGGUUCCCUCCCCCAUGAAGAACAACUUGAGUCUUCACAUGUAAUUAUUCUGCCUCAGCCUGGUGCCUUUUUAUCCUUAACCAUAUAAUUAAAUGGUUCACAGCUACAGUGCAAAUAAAGAGUUGGUGUUAACAGAAUAUGUAUGCCCUGUAAUUUUCAGCUUUAUUGGAUUUCCUGGUGCUAAGCGCUAAUGCUGAGGCGCUCACAGUGGAAGAACAACCUUCUUGUGGGAGAGUUGGAUACCUUGGAAACAUAUUCACUUUGCAUCCACCUAAGAUCUUCCUCUUCCAGCACCGCCCUCCCCUCUACUGGCCCUCUGCAUAGCCGACUUCUUCAUUGUUAUCUGUGCCCAUGUGGUUCCUCAAGCUGAGAUCCACUUUCCAUAGUGUUCCUUCUUAUCUGUCCCUCCUCACAGCCUCUCCAUUGAUGAAUUUGUGUUGGGACAAGUUGGGACAAGCAACCUUCAGAGUCUUUCUGCCAUUUACUUAACUGCCAUUUAGUGUCAUGACCUUGGCUUCAGAAUGGGUUGAUAUAAGAAAUGGCCUUGGCCGGGCAUGGUGGCUCACGCCUGUAAUCCCAGCACUUUGGGAGGCUGAGAUGGGUGGAUCACCUGAGGUCAGGAGUUCGAGACCAGCCUGGCCAACAUGGUGAAACCCCGUCUCUACUAAAAAUACAAAAAUUAGCCAGGUGUGGUGGUGCAUGCCUGUAAUCCCAGCUACUUGGAGGCUGGGGCAGGAGAAUCGCUUGAACCUGGGAGGCAGAGGCUGCAGUGAGUCAAGAUCAUGCCACUGCAGUGCAGCCUGGGCAACAGAGUGAGACUCUGUCUCAAAAAAAAAAAAAAAAAGAAAAGAAAGAAAAAAGAAAUGGGCUUAUAUGCUUCUUGUCUUGUAGUCUUUGAUCUUGAAAAUAUUUUUGUUUGUUGUCCUAUAUUUAACGAUCUUCAGAUCAAAUCCUCUUAUGAGCUCAGGACUUGGAAAAGGUAGUCUUUCCUGAUGGGUGGAUGUAUUUUCUGUAGUUAGACAAUGAGAUCUAACCAGCCUGUUUUGUAUGGAUUGUCUUCUUGGCCUUGACUGCAAGGAUUAUCCUUAAUUUCCAUGGCCUAAUUAUCUUUCCAGUGUUUCCUCUUUCUACCUUUAUUAAUUGGUUCUUGUCCUUUUAUUCUUCAUUCACUUUUUUGUUUCAUUGAAUCUAUAAAUUAAAUAUGGUCUCAUGUUUGUUUUUAGAAGUAGGUGGAGUACAACUAAAUAUUAGCUAAUGGUAGCACAAGUAGAACCUGUUUAAAAUUUUUAAAAAACAACCUGUUCACCGUAAGAAUGAGAUACCCAAGGAAAGAACAGGAAAGAGGUGUAUUUUUAAUCCCGCCUUUUGUAUUUAGUGUGCCCCAUGACUAGCUGUUCAUCUAACAUGCUUCUUGGUUCUCGGCAGGUAAAUGGCUAUGUGGUGAACCUUUUCUGGGCAUUUGACACCCACAAGCAAGAGAGGAGAACUUUGAACUUCCGAGGAAGCAUAUUGUCACACAAAGUUGGCAAUCUGACAGCUCAUACAUCCUAUGAGAUUUCUGCCUGGGCCAAGACUGACUUGGGGGAUAGCCCUCUGGCAUUUGAGCAUGUUAUGACCAGAGGGGUUCGCCCACCUGCACCUAGCCUCAAGGCCAAAGCCAUCAACCAGACUGCAGUGGAAUGUACCUGGACCGGCCCCCGGAAUGUGGUUUAUGGUAUUUUCUAUGCCACGUCCUUUCUUGACCUCUAUCGCAACCCGAAGAGCUUGACUACUUCACUCCACAACAAGACGGUCAUUGUCAGUAAGGAUGAGCAAUAUUUGUUUCUGGUCCGUGUAGUGGUACCCUACCAGGGGCCGUCCUCUGACUACGUUGUAGUGAAGAUGAUCCCGGACAGCAGGCUUCCACCCCGUCACCUGCAUGUGGUUCAUACGGGCAAAACCUCCGUGGUCAUCAAGUGGGAAUCACCGUAUGACUCUCCUGACCAGGACUUGUUGUAUGCAAUUGCAGUCAAAGAUCUCAUAAGAAAGACUGACAGGAGCUACAAAGUAAAAUCCCGUAACAGCACUGUGGAAUACACCCUUAACAAGUUGGAGCCUGGCGGGAAAUACCACAUCAUUGUCCAACUGGGGAACAUGAGCAAAGAUUCCAGCAUAAAAAUUACC